rnacentral:rRNA from 1 species
AGAGUUUGAUCAUGGCUCAGAUUGAACGCUGGCGGAAUGCUUUACACAUGCAAGUCGAACGGCAGCAUAGGUGCUUGCACCUGAUGGCGAGUGGCGAACGGGUGAGUAAUACAUCGGAACGUGCCCAGUCGUGGGGGAUAACGCAGCGAAAGCUGUGCUAAUACCGCAUACGCCCUGAGGGGGAAAGCGGGGGAUCGCAAGACCUCGCGCGAUUAGAGCGGCCGAUGCCUGAUUAGCUAGUUGGUGGGGUAAAAGCCCACCAAGGCGACGAUCAGUAGCUGGUCUGAGAGGACGAUCAGCCACACUGGGACUGAGACACGGCCCAGACUCCUACGGGAGGCAGCAGUGGGGAAUUUUGGACAAUGGGGGCAACCCUGAUCCAGCAAUGCCGCGUGCAGGACGAAGGCCUUCGGGUUGUAAACUGCUUUUGUACAGAACGAAAAGCCUUGGGUUAAUACCCUGGGGUCAUGACGGUACUGUAAGAAUAAGCACCGGCUAACUACGUGCGAGCAGCCGCGGUAAU